UACGAAGGGGGCUAGCGUUGCUCGGAAUCACUGGGCGUAAAGCGCACGUAGGCGGGUCUUUAAGUCAGGGGUGAAAGCCCGGAGCUCAACUCCGGAACUGCCAUUGAAACUGUGAAACUUGAGGAUGAGAGAGGUGAGUGGAAUUCCCAGUGUAGAGGUGAAAUUCGUAGAUAUUGGGAAGAACACCGGUGGCGAAGGCGGCUCACUGGCUCAUUUCUGACGCUCAGGCGCGACAGCGUGGGGAUCAAACAGG
rnacentral:rRNA from 1 species